rnacentral:rRNA from 1 species
AGUGAACGCUGGCGGUAGGCCUAACACAUGCAAGUCGAGCGGCAGCACAGUAAGAGCUUGCUCUUACGGGUGGCGAGUGGCGGACGGGUGAGGAAUACAUCGGAAUCUACUUUUUCGUGGGGGAUAACGUAGGGAAACUUACGCUAAUACCGCAUACGACCUACGGGUGAAAGCAGGGGAUCUUCGGACCUUGCGCGAUUGAAUGAGCCGAUGUCGGAUUAGCUAGUUGGCGGGUAAAGGCCCACCAAGGCGACGAUCCGUAGCUGGUCUGAGAGGAUGAUCAGCCACACUGGAACUGAGACACGGUCCAGACUUCUACGGGAGGCAGCAGUGGGGAAUAUUGGACAAUGGGCGCAAGCCUGAUCCAGCCAUACCGCGUGGGUGAAGAAGGCCUUCGGGUUGUAAAGCCCUUUUGUUGGGAAAGAAAAGCAGCAGGUUAAUACCCCGCUGUUCUGACGGUACCCAAAGAAUAAGCACCGGCUAACUUCGUG